GCCCCACCUACGAUAGUAGAGGGGCAUUAUGUUUUCUGGUCUGUGCGUCCGUUCGUCCGUUCGUUCGUCCGUUCGUUCGUCCGUCUGUCCCGCUUCAGGUUAAAGUUUUUGGUCGAGGAGUUUUUGAUGAAGUUGAAGUCCAAUCGACUUCAAACUUGGUACACAUGUUCCCUAUGAUAUGAUCUUUCUAAUUUUAAUGCCAAAUUAGAGAUUUUACCCCAAUUUUACGGUUCACUGA
rnacentral:lncRNA from 1 species